rnacentral:rRNA from 1 species
CCUACGGGUGGCAGCAGUGGGGAAUAUUGCGCAAUGGGGGCAACCCUGACGCAGCAACGCCGCGUGAUUGAAGAAGGCCUUCGGGUUGUAAAGAUCUUUAAGCGGGGACGAAGGGUGACGGGACCCGAAGAAUAAGCGCCGGCUAACUACGUGCCAGCAGCCGCGGGAAUACGGAGGGAGCAAGCGUUAUCCGGAUUUACUGGGUGUAAAGGGCGUGGAGGCGGGCAUUCAAGCCAGAAGUGAAAUCUGGGGGCUGAACCCCCAAACUGCUUUUGGAACUGCGUGUCUUGAGUGAUGGCGAGGCAGGCGUACUUCCCCGUGUCGCGGUGAACUGCGUGGCUCUUGGGAGGAACACCAGUG